rnacentral:sRNA from 1 species
AUGCAAAUCUGCUGUGCAUCCAGAGAGCAAAGUGGGAUGAUCUGUCACUACACCUGCAGCACCACGCUCGGAGGACAGCUCCUGCCUGCAGCUUCCAGACCCAGGAAGCCUGAGGGGAAGGAAGGAAGUACGGGCGAAAUCAUCAGAUUGGCUUCCCAGAUUUGGGAAUCUGAAGCGGGCCCACAUCUUCCGGCCAACUUCCAUUGAACUUCCCAGCACUCGAAAGGGACCGAAAUGGAGAGCAAAGGUAUGUGGUUGUCCCUAUCGGGGGACUUCCCGCUGCAUGUGCGUGUGGCCAAGGCAAUCCUCGGCGAGGGGACUGCAGUGCUUGGGGAGCGAGCAUCAUACUAGGUCGAUAGAGGAGGAGAUGCUAUGUCCAUUGCAGCACUGGGGAAGUGUGGCAGGAAGGCGACUUCUUUUUAACUCCCACAGCUUGGAAGACAGUGUUUAAUACUCCAUCAGUUGCGUAGUGAAGUGUGAUGAGUUUUUUGGGGGGAGGUGGGGAGAGUCCCCCCAAAAUGGAGGAGGAGGAGGAGGUAUGUGUUA